AUUGAACGCUGGCGGCAUGCCUUACACAUGCAAGUCGAACGGUAACAGGUCUUCGGAUGCUGACGAGUGGCGAACGGGUGAGUAAUACAUCGGAACGUGCCUAGUAGUGGGGGAUAACUACUCGAAAGAGUGGCUAAUACCGCAUGAGAUCUACGGAUGAAAGCAGGGGAUCGCAAGACCUUGUGCUACUAGAGCGGCCGAUGGCAGAUUAGGUAGUUGGUGGGAUAAGAGCUUACCAAGCCGACGAUCUGUACCUGGUCUGAGAGGACGACCAGCCACCCUGGGACUGAGACACGGCCCAGACUCCUACGGGAGGCAGCAGUGGGGAAUUUUGGACAAUGGGCGCAAGCCUGAUCCAGCAAUGCCGCGUGCAGGAUGAAGGCCUUCGGGUUGUAAACUGCUUUUGUACGGAACGAAAAGCCCUGGGUUAAUACCCUGGGGUCAUGACGGUACCGUAAGAAUAAGCACCGGCUAACUACAUGCCAGCCGCCGCAGUAAAAC
rnacentral:rRNA from 1 species